rnacentral:rRNA from 1 species
CAGCACCUCAAGUGGUCAGGAUGAUUAUUGGGCCUAAAGCAUCCGUAGCCGGCUUUGUCAGUUUUCGGUUAAAUCCAUGUGCUCAACGCAUGGGCUGCCGAAAAUACUGCAUGGCUAGGGAGUGGGAGAGGUAGACGGUACUCAGUAGGAAGGGGUAAAAUCCUUUGAUCUAUUGAUGACCACCUGUGGCGAAGGCGGUCUACCAGAACACGUUCGACGGUGAGGGAUGAAAGCUGGGGGAGCAAACCGGAUUAGAUACCCGGGUAGUCCCAGCUGUAAACGAUGCAGACUCGAUGAUGCAUUGGCAUAAUAGCCAGUGCAGUGUCGCAGGGAAGCCGUUAAGUCUGCCGCCUGGGAAGUACGUACGCAAGUAUGAAACUUAAAGGAAUUGGCGGGGGAGCACCACAAGGGGUGAAGCUGCGGUUCAAUUGGAGUCAACGCCAGAAAUCUUACCCGGAGAGACAGCAGAAUGAAGGUCAAGCUGAAGACUUUACCAGACAAGCUGAGAGGUGGUGCAUGGCCGUCGCCAGCUCGUGCCGUGAGAUGUCCUGUUAAGUCAGGUAACGAGCGAGAUCCCUGCCGCUAGUUGCUAUCAUUAUUCUCAGGAAUAGUGGGACGAAUUAGUGGGACUGCCGUUGUUAAAACGGAGGAAGGAAGGGGCUACGGCAGGUCAGUAUGCCCCGAAACUCUGGGGCCACACGCGGGCUGCAAUGGUAGUGACAAUGAGUUCCAAACUCGAAAGAGAGUGGCAAUCUCUAAACGCUACCACAGUUAUGACUGAGGGCUGUAACUCGCCCUCACGAAUAUGGAAUCCCUAGUAACCGCGUGUCAUUACCGCGCGGUGAAUACGUCCCUGCUCCUU